GACGAACGCUGGCGGCGUGCUUAACACAUGCAAGUCGAACGGUGAAGCGCCUUCCUUUUUGGUGGGUGUGGAUGAGUGGCGAACGGGUGCGUAACACGUGAGUAACCUGCCCCCUUCUUCUGGAUAACCGCAUGAAAGUGUGGCUAAUACGGGAUAUUCUGGGUCUGUCGCAUGAUGGGUCUGGGACAGAUAUUGUUUCGGUGGGGGAUGGGCUCGCGGCCUAUCAGCUUGUUGGUGCGGUGAUGGCCUACCAAGGCUGUGACGGGUGGCCGGCCUGGGAGGGUGGACGGUCACACUGGGAGUGAGGCACGGCCGAGACUCCGACGGGGGGCAGCAGUGGGGAAUAGGGCACAGUGGGCGAAAGCCUGAUGCAGCGACGACGCGUGAGGGAUGGAGGCCGGCGGGUUGUGAACCUCUUUCGCUAGUGAAGCAGGCCUGCCUCGGGUGUGGGUGGGUUGACGGUAGCUGGAGAAGAAGCGCCGGCUAACUACGUG
rnacentral:rRNA from 1 species